ACACUUUACAAUGAUUCUAUGUAUUAAAUAGUGCUGACCUUUCAAUUACAGUAACUUAAAAUAACCCACAUAUACAUGUAAUUGGGAAAACCUAUACAGGUCACUGAACCAUGAAUAAGGAGAUGGAAUCUGAAAAUAACCCACAUAUAAUUGGAAAACCUAUACAGGUCACUGAACCAUGAAUAAGGAGAUGGAAUCUGAAAAUGUACAAAAAUAUGGAUUAUUCAGCUACCUUACUUUUAAUAGUUAAAUUUUAUGGAAAGCAUAUAUAUAGUGUAACCUGUGUAAUCAAUCUGUCACACUGGGGGAAAAGACAAAAAUGUCAGAUUAAGCAGGGUGUCGAAAUACUCAGGUUUUUUUCUGCAAGGAAAGGCGUAUUUUGGGACCAUGAAAAUGUGUUGGUUAAAGCAGAUUGCUGGAGAACUCAGGUGUCAGAUUCGGCAGGUUACACUGUAUUUCACUUUUCUUUUGUAUUAGCAAACCUUACAUAUCUUAAAUAAUGUUGCAGGUGAGACAAUAUGAAAAACGAAAAUACAGAAAAGCAUAUAUGAUUACAAGUAAAUUUAUUCAAAUAUAAAUGAUCUAAAUCAUCUUGGUAAAAAAACAAAUAAACAUAACAAUCUAAUAAAUGAUUAACCGGGAAAAUAAAGGAAUGUUUCAGAAGGUGUUCAAUAAAAGCAAUUUUUUGGAGGGUACAAAUGAGGAGAAAAGCUAUAAUAUAUGCCAUAAUUAAACAACUUUUUGUGACCACAAUCAAACUUUAUACUUAUAUCUAUCUGAAGGCAUUGGUUCUCAUUAAAAGAACUAUACAAUGAGAAAUAAUUUUUGAAUCCAGUAAAUUACAUUUGUCAUGGCUUGCAUAGAAUCAAGAUUUACCUAGUUUAUAUAG
rnacentral:lncRNA from 1 species